UGGCUCAGAACGAACGCUGGCGGCGUGCUUAACACAUGCAAGUCGAACGCGAAAGGGACUUCGGUCCUGAGUAAAGUGGCGCACGGGUGAGUAACGCGUAGAUAACCUGUCUUCAUGUCUGGAAUAAUACGCCGAAAGGGGUACUAAUACCGGAUAUUCUUGCUUUUCAUAAGUUAUGCAAGCAAAGGUGGCCUCUGCAUAUGCUACUGCAUGAAGAGGGGUCUGCGUACCAUUAGCUAGUAGGUGGGGUAAUGGCCUACCUAGGCGACGAUGGUUAGCGGGUCUGAGAGGAUGAUCCGCCACACUGGCACUGGAACACGGGCCAGACUCCUACGGGAGGCAGCAGUGAGGAAUAUUGCGCAAUGGGGGUAACCCUGACGCAGCGACGCCGCGUGAGUGAGGAAGGCCUUCGGGUCGUAAAGCUCUGUCAAGAGGAAAGAAGUGUACAAUGGCUAAUACCUGUUGUAUUUGACGGUACCUCUAAAGGAAGCACCGGCUAACUCCGUGCCAGCCGCGGC
rnacentral:rRNA from 1 species